GACGAACGCUGGCGGCGUGCUUAACACAUGCAAGUCGAACGGAAAGGCCCUGCUUUUGUGGGGUGCUCGAGUGGCGAACGGGUGAGUAACACGUGAGUAACCUGCCCUUGACUUUGGGAUAACUUCAGGAAACUGGGGCUAAUACCGGAUAGGAGCUCCUGCUGCAUGGUGGGGGUUGGAAAGUUUCGGCGGUUGGGGAUGGACUCGCGGCUUAUCAGCUUAUUGGUGGGGUAGUGGCUUACCAAGGCUUUGACGGGUAGCCGGCCUGAGAGGGUGACCGGCCACAUUGGGACUGAGAUACGGCCCAGACUCCUACGGGAGGCAGCAGUGGGGAAUAUUGCACAAUGGGCGGAAGCCUGAUGCAGCAACGCCGCGUGCGGGAUGACGGCCUUCGGGUUGUAAACCGCUUUCGCCUGUGACGAAGCGUGAGUGACGGUAAUGGGUAAAGAAGCACCGGCUAACUACGUGCCAGCAGCCGCGGUGAUACGUAGGGUGCGAGCGUUGUCCGGAUUUAUUGGGCGUAAAGGGCUCGUAGGUGGUUGAUCGCGUCGGAAGUGUAAUCUUGGGGCUUAACCCUGAGCGUGCUUUCGAUACGGGUUGACUUGAGGAAGGUAGGGGAGAAUGGAAUUCCUGGUGGAGCGGUGGAAUGCGCAGAUAUCAGGAGGAACACCAGUGGCGAAGGCGGUUCUCUGGGCCUUUCCUGACGCUGAGGAGCGAAAGCGUGGGGAGCGAACAGGCUUAGAUACCCUGGUAGUCCACGCUGUAAACGGUGGGUACUAGGUGUGGGGUCCAUUCCACGGGUCCCGUGCCGUAGCUAACGCUUUAAGUACCCCGCCUGGGGAGUACGGCCGCAAGGCUAAAACUCAAAGGAAUUGACGGGGCCCCGCACAAGCGGCGGAGCAUGCGGAUUAAUUCGAUGCAACGCGUAGAGCCUUACCUGGGUUUGACAUGGAUCGGGAGUGCUCAGAGAUGGGUGUGCCUCUUUUGGGGUCGGUUCACAGGUGGUGCAUGGCUGUCGUCAGCUCGUGUCGUGAGAUGUUGGGUUAAGUCCCGCAACGAGCGCAACCCUUGUUCACUGUUGCCAGCACGUUAUGGUGGGGACUCAGUGGAGACCGCCGGGGUCAACUCGGAGGAAGGUGGGGAUGACGUCAAGUCAUCAUGCCCCUUAUGUCCAGGGCUUCACGCAUGCUACAAUGGCCGGUACAGAGAGUGGCGAGCCUGUGAGGGUGAGCGAAUCUCGGAAAGCCGGUCUCAGUUCGGAUUGGGGUCUGCAACUCGACCUCAUGAAGUCGGAGUCGCUAGUAAUCGCAGAUCAGCAACGCUGCGGUGAAUACGUUCCCGGGGCU
rnacentral:rRNA from 1 species